UGAAACAAAGUUUUCCCCCCUAUACUUAAAUGAAACAUUGUCCCCAAUGUUUCAAAAAAAAACGAAAGAAAAGGAAAAAAAAGAAGGAACCCAAACUCAAUUCUGCCUACGUCCUCUUGUUCUCGGACCCGGUGAUCGUUGACGUACUUCCAAGUCAUCAAACCUGUUAAGCAAGUCAGUGAACCGCUGGUCGGUUCUUG
rnacentral:lncRNA from 1 species